rnacentral:rRNA from 1 species
GUAACACGUGGGCAAUCUGCCCUGCACUCUGGGACAAGCCCUGGAAACGGGGUCUAAUACCGGAUAUUGACCUUCACGGGCAUCUGUGAGGUUCGAAAGCUCCGGCGGUGCAGGAUGAGCCCGCGGCCUAUCAGCUUGUUGGUGAGGUAAUGGCUCACCAAGGCGACGACGGGUAGCCGGCCUGAGAGGGCGACCGGCCACACUGGGACUGAGACACGGCCCAGACUCCUACGGGAGGCAGCAGUGGGGAAUAUUGCACAAUGGGCGAAAGCCUGAUGCAGCGACGCCGCGUGAGGGAUGACGGCCUUCGGGUUGUAAACCUCUUUCAGCAGGGAAGAAGCGAAAGUGACGGUACCUGCAGAAGAAGCGCCGGCUAACUACGUGCCAGCAGCCGCGGUAAUACGUAGGGCGCAAGCGUUGUCCGGAAUUAUUGGGCGUAAAGAGCUCGUAGGCGGCUUGUCACGUCGGUUGUGAAAGCCCGGGGCUUAACCCCGGGUCUGCAGUCGAUACGGGCAGGCUAGAGUUCGGUAGGGGAGAUCGGAAUUCCUGGUGUAGCGGUGAAAUGCGCAGAUAUCAGGAGGAACACCGGUGGCGAAGGCGGAUCUCUGGGCCGAUACUGACGCUGAGGAGCGAAAGCGUG